rnacentral:misc_RNA from 1 species
CUCGUAAUCCUUUGGACGAUGGAGAAUGGAGCUCAAAAUCUAGAAAGCGUUUCGAGACAUUUGAGAAAGAGUUGGUGAUGACAUCAGAUCAAGCAUCUAUGAAGAAUCAGCAGUUACCUAAAGGAUAUUUUUAUAUUCCUGUUGAUUGCCUUCCCAAGGAGAAGCAGAUGAACCAGGACGCACGAUCUGGUGAGCUAUUAGAACACCACAGGUAGAUGGAGGCAAAUUUUGGGUUUCUGAUUUGAGCACAGGAUAUCGACAGCCCUCUGCUGCAGACAACUGCCUUCUGCCAUGGAGCUAUGAAAUAUAUCCGUUAUUUGAUUUGUGAAGGGGUGAGAUUGGCAGAAUGAUGCUGAGAUGGUGUUUUGGAUGAUGUAUCAUCCCCUUUGAAUUGAACCAACAUUCUGGACAAGGCAGUGAGUUCUUAGCAUCAUUGUUGUUUGUUCAUUGUGAGAGCAAUUGUGCAGUGGGUG